AGCUCAGUCUCCAGCUCUUUCAGAAAAGAACAACGUAGGAGGUGACAGUGAAAUCAGUUCCCACCCAUAUCUUGCUCUGGUUGGUCACAACCAGAAUCUUCGCAACCACAAUCAGAAUCUUCCCAUGGCUCUACCUACAUCUCAUGCUUGUCUCUGCCAUUACAAUAUAAGGAACAGCAUUUCGCCAUGUCACGCAGGCUGGUCUUCAACUCCUGUACUGAAGCUAUCCACAGGCCUUGACCUCCCAAAGUGCUGGGAUUACAGGCAUGAGCCACUGUGUCCAGACUGAAGUUUUUAGUCUCAU